AUUGAACGCUGGCGGCAGGCUUAACACAUGCAAGUCGAGCGAGCGGCGGACGGGUGAGUAAUGUCUGGGAAACUGCCUGAUGGAGGGGGAUACCUACUGGAAACGGUAGCUAAUACCGCAUACCAUCAGAUGUGCCCAGAUGGUCUUAGCUAGUAGGUGGGGUAAGGGCUCACCUUGGCGACGAUCCCUAGCUGGUCUGAGAGGAUGACCAGCCAAACUGGAACUGAGAAACGGUCCGGACUCCUACGGGAGGCAGAAGUGGGGAAUAUUGGCCGAUGGGCGCAAGCCUGAUGCAGCCAUGCCGCGUGUGGGAAGAAGGCCUUCGGGUUGUAAAGCACUUUCAGCGAGGAGGCGUUACUCGCAGAAGAAGCACCGGCUAACUCCGUGCCAGCAGCCGCGGUAAUUC
rnacentral:rRNA from 1 species